GUGAACAUUUCCAGACACACCUUAUGUCACUGAGAGUUUGAUUUGGAUGUGUAAAAGCAUGUAAUUCUAAACAUUCCUCAAAAUAGGCAAUAAAGUCAUGAGACAAAUACUGAACAUGAAGAAUAAGUUUCUUAGUCCCAACAAGGAUUGUGAUGUUGAAAUGAGCAAAGUGAUCAAUGAAAGCAAAGACAUAGAAGAAAAAUCAUCACAUCUGAAAUGAAAUUAAUUCAAAGACUACAAAAUAUUCUAAGCCAAUAGUCCAGAUAACCUUCACUGCAGAAUUCUGAAGAAAUUAAUACAUAUAUCUGAAGAGACUAGAACAAUAAUUUUUAGUAAGUAUAUCAGUUUCAAAUGGAAAGA